CCGCACAUGAAUACUCGGGCAACAUUAUAUAUUUCUCAAGUGCGAAAUUAGCUCAAAUAAAAUCACAUGGUUAACUAGUAGUAUUAUACACCUGUUUUCAAGCUCGAAUUGUGACAUUAACAUUUAAUAAACUCCCACAAGAUCUAAUAGGCAUUUCAUCAAACAGAUUUUAUACAAUUGAAAAUCAACUAUAAAGCCAUCUCAGUUAUCACUCAAAUCAACUUUUGAAUAAUCAAAUCACAAAAUGGAGGGGAAAAGAAAAAAAAAUGAUGUAUAUUAACUGAUAAGAAGUCACCAAGAAAGACAAAGAUGGUGGUUGACAAUUUUGAACCUAACAUAACUCCAAUAACGGCUCAUAGGGGUCCAGCGGUAGUAAAAUGGAAAGCCCAAGCAAUUGGUCAAUGAUUGAGAAACGUCCAUUUAAAAUUCAAUUUCUCCAUACAAAUGUGAGAAAAGUCCGAAGCAAAAAAGGUUAGAUAGUAUGCCAUGUUUAACUUGAAAUUCAAAAUAAGGUCAUCAAUUACACACGAUAGAUCUAUGCGGUUGAAUCGAAUCAAAAGCUUAACAAAUUUGCCUUUUCAUAUAACAUCCAAACAAAAUAACAGGGGCGUGUAUACAUACCCGAUUGAGUUGAGACAACAAAAUUGAGAGCCUAAUCCAUCCGAAAAUAGCCAGCUCCUCUAAUUGGAAUCAAACAAACAAUCAAUGCCCAAAUGAAAACGAGAAUGCAACUGUAAGGCUCAGCAGCAUCAAAUCAAGCAGCGAGAGCAGAAUCAAAUGACCACGAAUCGCAGCGAAAUCUCGAACGAGCCUAGACUUCUUGCAGGGAAUUAAGAUCCGAUUGGAGCUGGUUCAAGGACUGAUUUACUGCUGAGUGUUUUUGAACUAUUUAAAUGAUUUUAGUGGGAAAAUUGGACCCUUUUGUGGAGAAAAUGUUGUUGCGUCUUUUUUCAGAGGAGAGCCUUCUGCAAAUUUUUCGCGUGUAUUCUUGUAGAGGAGCGGAUCUGCCCGUUUUUGCCAGGGGUAGGGUCACACAUUUGGCGUGUUUGUAAGGGGGAAGGAAUUUGGAUCGGGUAUGGGUGCAAUUUGGGCUGGGCGUAAAUCUGUUUUGCGCCAGGAAAUUUUGAUUAAAAAAUCAGCCCAAAAUUGGUCUUUUGCAAGACCAACUCUUUUCAAAGCUUUUCUUUUUAUUUCUUUAUUUUUGUUUGCUUUUCCAAUUUGUAUUUUUUGUAUUAUUCUUUCUGAUUUUAUAAAGGUGCAAAAAUUAAAAUAGAGUCUUAAUGUAUUUCAAAGCUAAACUAAUUAACUCCUAAAAUUAUUUAAAACCUAUUUCAUGAUAAAUUCACAAUUAAAACAAUUAAAAUGCAAAAAUGAACAAUUUUUGUUAUUUUUCAUAUUUGAUUCUAAAACAAAUUAACCCCUAAUUAAUGCUAAAAAUGAAAUUAGAUCCUAAAUUCAAAUUCAUAUUUUUGUAUUUUUUAUAUGAAUUAAAAUGCACAAAUAAAAUGCAACAAUUACCGAAAAAUGACACAAAAAUUCACAAAAAUUGUAAAAACAAGGGGAAAAAAUCAUUUUGUUUGAAUUUUUUUUGGAAUUCAUUCACAUAUAGGGCAAAAAUCACGUGCUCACAACCAAGAGGGGUGACGGUUUUUUUUCCUCUACUGCAUUUCUCUUGUAUAAUCCGUCCUUGGUUGAAGCUUGGACCAGUAGGGUUUUUCUAUGGUUGUGGGGUGGAUAAGGAUUUUUUGGAGUUGGAGCACGCCAUUAUGGGUAAGGAGGGGGUUGAGCAUAUGACUGUGCAUGGUGAACAUGAUACUGGGGUAGUCUGACAGAGUAUUGAGGGUCUUGUAGUGGGAAAUAAUGUUGGGGUUGAUUGUAUGGAGCUUGAGUGUGGGCUUGAGGUUGGGGCCAGGGAUGAGUGUACUGGUGAGGCAAAAUCCUCGAUCCAUGCCAUGGUUCAGAGACAACCAUAGCGACAUCUUCCUUCUUCUUUUUGCCCUGCAAACUUCCUGUGCCACUUUGAAUUGCAUGUGUAAUUGCUUUUACGGAAAAAUAGCUCAUAAUCUUGCUUGACUUGAGUCCCUCUUCCACCAUUCCUCCCAUCUUUACCACAUCAUUGAAGGACUUACAUAUGGCUGAGAUCAAAUGGCCAAAGUAAAUAGACUCUAAGGCUUGAAAAAAGUACCCGACCAUCUCGUCUUCUUGCAUCAGAGGAUUGACUCGUAUCACUUGCUCUCUCCAUCUGAACCUGUUUUCCCUAAAGCUUUCAUUGGGAUUCUUUUCUACCUUGGUAAGGGAUAGGCGAUCGAGGAUAAUGACUAUGUUGUACUGAAAGUGCCGAGAAAAAGUCUGAGCCAAAUCAUCCCAUGUGUACCACCUGCUAGUAUCUUGGCGGGUGUAUCACUCCAAAGCCUCCCCAUUCAUACUCUGAUUGAAAUACGCCAUCAAUAAUUCUUCUUUCCCACCGCCGCCUCUCAUCUUGUUGCAAACACCUCUCAAAUUGGCCACGGCAUCUCUGUGUCAAUCGUACAGGUCUAACUUGGGCAUCUUGAAACCAACGGUCAAUUGGACGUCUUCGAACAAGCACAAGUCAUUGUAAGCCACACUUACUUGACUUCAUAUCCCUUGCAUAUUCUUCAAACAUUUCUCUAAACUCUUCACUUUCAUGAAUAUCUCAUCUUGCUCCACGUUCUUGGAUGGUUUCUCGGUUUCAACAAGUGGCUCAAAGUGAGGGGUGUAGGGAUAAGAAUCCGGGACCUUGAAGGUUGGUUCUAGGGCAUAUAGGCGGGCAUCUAGAGCUUGGAAUACGGGUUCUAUAGAGGAUCGGUGGAGGGUAUCUUGUGAAGGAGCUACAAAAAUAGGAACAAACAUCGGAGUACGGUAUGAGGUUGUUUUGACUGGUGGAGCAUGGAAAAUUUGGGAUGAGAUACAUGGGUAAUUGUGGUAAGGGGUAAAGCACGGUACAUGUUAAGGGGAAGAUCAAUGGUAAUGAGAACCUGGGCUUGUGGCAGUGGUGGAAUGAAAGCAUGGUUUUCUGUAUAGUUAGCAGGGAAUGAAGGUGGAGGAUGUCCCAUAAUCCAGGCCUGACAUAUUUUCACCAUUUGAUGCUUCAACCUAUGGACCUCCUUUUUCAAACCAGAGACUCAUUUUACAAUCUCCGUCGGCGGGUCAACAACACAUGUGCCCGAUACUUUGCUAGUCAUAGCUGACUUGCGCUUCGACCUAGUGUUAUAUGGAUGACUUGCCAGAAUGCCAACAAACUAACCACCUACACAGAACCUGGCUCAAUGCACAUCCAAUACAUUGGUUAGUUUUGAGACGCUUAACCGAUAGGAAAUCGCACGUUAGGAUGCAAUGCACCUAAACAGUUAAACGCUUUUACCAUAUGUUUGAACGGCUGGAUGUUUCAUCCAAGCUUUAUCUAACCCUUUUUCACUCUGUACCUUUUCAUUCCCUUCCGCCUUCCUUUUAAUCACUCUUGAUUUUCUCUUCUUUUUUUUGUCACUCUUUUAUUUUUUUUGCACUCUCUUUUUCUCUUUUGGUUUUUUCCCAUUUUUCUUUUUAUUUUCACUCAAUUUUCUUUUCUCUUUUUUUAAUGUUAUGGCUAUGAUCGAAUCUUAUGGAGAUUUCCUACAUAUCAUGACACCACAUGAAUCAGAUCAUUGCAUAGUUCAGAGAUAUAAAUGCAAAAUGAAAGACAAGAAUAUUUUUGGGGUUUUCAAAAUUUCAUUAAUAAAAGACACCUUUUUGGAUUUUUCUAUUACACAGACUCGGAAGUACUGAUGGCUAAAAAUAAACAUACAGACUUGAAACAAAACCAUAAACAUGCUCGAAAGGACAAAAUAGACUCAAAAUAAAUAAAGUACAUACUCAAAAAUCGAAAAUCAUGAAAUACAUAAGAGCCUCGAAUGCUACUUCAGGGGCUCGCGGGACAUUAGUCGGUCUCAACGCGGACCUGCGUUCAUUCUCUUAUUAAAGGUGAUCCAGAUCAGCCAUUACCUGGAGGAAAAAUGUCAUCAUGAAAGAAAAAACAUGGAUCUAGUCAUAUCCUCACAUUCAUGGCACUUCAUUGUAACAUAACAAGCUAUUUCUUUGUUUCUCAUUCUGAUGAUACCCUUUUCUUGAAGCAAACGCCGAUUUGUUAUGCACGAGAUUCCAACACCUACGUGGCUGUGUCAUUUUGGUCUUGCAGCUUUUGAAUGCUUGCUUCUAAUUGGUAAAUCAAAGCAUAACAAUGUUCUCUCAAUAUUUUGAAGUAUUUUGUUUGCUGAACUAUCUCAAUUUUUAGGGUAGUCAGUUUUUCCUUUAAGAACUUGACUCAUUUAUCAUAUUUUUUCUUCAACCCUUGAGCAAACCCUAUCCAUUCUUCCGCACCUUUUUCCAACUAUGCUCGAGAAUUUGCCAAGUCUUCCUCGGCCUUUGUCAAAUCAGCCCCAAAAUCACACAUUUCCUGCCUCAUAUUGGUUAUGAGUCUUUCAUCUUUUUCGCUUUUUACCGGGGUCUCAAUGGCUAUUUUCAUCUUUCAGAUCUGAGCUAUGAGGGAUUUAUUUUCCCGAGCCAACCUCUUCUUUUCUCCUUUAGCCUCAUCAGCCUGCAAACUACCAUCAAAUUUGAUGUUCCUGAUUUAAUCUUCUAGCAUACUUAUGGUGGCCUAGUAUUGGUUCUCUUUAGCUAACCAAGCCAAAUGUUCAUGUGAUGCAUCGACAAAUUCUUGGAUAUAGGGACUUUUGGUCGGCCUUUCAGAUUCUUCAUUUGUCGCGACUCUCUUUCCAUACCAAGCAACAUAACCAGGCAAAACGUCGCCCUUGGAAAAAUCACAUACUCGGGUGUUUGCUCCCAAAUAUUGGCAUUUGCUCCAAAUUUGGCGAACCAUUUAGUCAAGAAAUUGGGCAUCGGAAUGCACUUCAACCGCAUGAAUACUAAGAUCUUCAUAUCUGGGAACUAUCUAGCAUCUUCCAUGUUAUCUCAAAAUUCGGUAUAGGGCUAGGGAUUGAUGCUUCAGGGACCCAUUAGAAGGGAGUAGGGGCCAGUGGCAGGCAUAUAAAUGAUCUCAUUAACAAGAGCCAGCCCAAUGUCCAUUCUAUCUUAUCUCCGCUUAUGGAACGGAGGUGGAUGAUCCAAUCUUUGACCUUUUCUAGCAUUUUGUAUCCGGUCACUCGUGCCCCAAACUCUUCGAUGCAAUUUUUCCUUGUAGAACCAUAUUUUAUGUAGCAGGAUUAGUGACAAAGGCCCUCGAUCAUCCACAUUCAAGAGAUUGCACCCCUCAAAAAAUCUGACCCCGGCCUUACAUGAUGUAAGGGCUCAGAAUAUAUCUGAUACAAUCAUGGGCGCGAGGGUACUCUUAGCCUGAGUAGUCAAAACAUGGGAAACUCCGGCUACACGUAAAUCAAUGCACCUGUCCUUCCUUGGAAAUACCAAAAGGCAUGAGAAUGCCACUAUGAAGGCAAAGCAUCUAUGUAUUUUCCACUUUGAUCGGUUUCCUUUAUUGUAGAGUCCAUUUUAUGGGUCUUCAGAUCCACUUAAAUGCCUGUAUCGUUGGUAUAGAAAGUGUAAAAUGGAAGUUCCACGUGCUAGAUUUUCAGUCUUGAUUUGCCUGUUUAUUUUCAGUAAGUCUAGAAAUUUGUGGGGAGUAACAGUCUUGGAGAUACCAGGUACUUGUGUCUUAAUCCUUCCAUACUCCCGGCAUUGCCCACGAUUUCUCUCAAAGUAGGUAUAAACUCAAAAUCUGAGAAGUGCAAGAAAUUAUGAGUGGGGUCCCAAAAUGACUCUAAUGCCUCUAUCAGAUUACUUCUAGGUUUAAUAUUCAAUAGUCCAGUGAGUUACCCCAAAUAUUGGCUGACCCUGUCUCAUUCUUGUUUUUCCAAAUCCUUCAACCUGUGGAGUGCUAGUGGAAUAUGAUAGAUAACCUUCACAGAUAAAUUCCGAACAAUGCUCAUUCUGCACAUUUUAAAUUAGGGUAACCAGCUGAAAACAUGUGAAUUAUGUUUAAAAACUGACCAUGAAAAGAUUAUUUUUGCAAAAUCCAACUGAAAACAAAUCACUUCGGAAGGGAAGAUUUUUGAGUUGUGUUUGCUAAGUGGUCAAAUUUGAGAAAAGGACCAUAGGUAGCUAUUCUUGCAAAAUGUACUUUCGGCAUCUCGUCGGGAUAUUUCUAUCUAUUUGGAUAAUAUUUUCAUAUUUUGAUUAAUUUUGGAAAAGCAGGGGUGGGCCUGAUGAGGGUUGCCUACGUAUCUCACAUACGGUGAGAAUCAAACCCGCGUAGUUCGGUAAGUUUCGAUGCAACAAAAAAAUAUAACUUAUUUUGAAAUGAAUUUUUUUUAAGAAAACUUUUGGCACAGUCUCGGGAUAUUUUGAAUACCGGAGUUUUUAGAAUCGGGUGAUUUUCUUUUCUUCUCACUCGAUUUUUCUCAAUUUUUUUCCCUAUUCUAGAAGUUGGUCAACAUGCAAGCCGAAAAAAAUAAAUGCACAAGUAGCACAUAAAAAUGCAUCAGGGUGGUCUUUUAAAUUGGGUGUACCUGUCCUAGACAGACUCAACCCCUGUGUUGAGUCCCUAAAGUCAAAUGCACGUGAUGCAAGCAACCUUACCUACUAGGGAUCCGACAUGAGGCUGUGUUAUUCUAAGUUAAAAACCUGGAUAUAUUGUUCUAGACCGGGCUUACCUGAGCGAACAACUCGGGGGAGGGGGGAACAUACUAGUAACCAAAAGAUCAUUCGACUUUGUAACUGAUCCGAUCCUCGUUCUAAAUUAAGUUAUGCCACUAACAGAAUAGAAGUCACGCCGGCGUGCACUUCCCAAAAGAUUUAUAAGACUCAGGGAAAAGAAGGGUUUUGUAACAAUUUAUAUAGAGUUUAAACAAUAUCAAAGCAGUAAAAAGCGGCAUUUAGCACAUUAGACUGCUACUAAGUCCGCAUGAUCUAACAACUUCAACCUUCAAACCACAAGAAAUUUAAUAAUUGAUGCCACACAUCACUCAUAAAUUGAACAAGAAUAUCUAUUAUUCUGAAGAAAGAAAAAGAAAAUGGAGAAGACAACAUGACAUUCAAAUAGCUCUAUCGUAAUAAGAUUUACAGCAGCACAAUCAGUAAUCACAAUUGAAAUAGAAUUCAUGUACCAUGAGAAAGCAAAUAGUGGAUAGAUUUGACAAAAAAUAAGAAAAUCACACAUAUUUGAUGCACAAAAUCUAAACAUAGGCAUAGCAAGAACAAAUCAUAUCCUUGAAUCUAUAUUUAGUAAUGAUUCAAACAAAUAGAUAGAUUACAUACCUAUCAACAAGAACAAUAAAAGAAAAGAUGACCAAACAAAAGCUAAACUUGAGAGCAAAUAGAGCUUGAUUGAACAAGACCAACUAAGCAGUAAUCAAUAACCCAUUGUGCUAAAAUUCAACAACUUCAAAAGCCAAAAAAUAUACCAGAAAAUAGUGAAGUUGAAGUAGCCUCCCUAUUUCCAUUUUCUCUAUUUAAGUAUUUAUGCCCUUUUCGAGAAUAAAUAUGCAAAAAUUAACGUGUAGUGUGUGAGGGGGUGUGAGGUCUCUUUUACAAAGUGUGAGAGUACAAGAUGAUAUAGGCAAUGAGAGAGAGAGAUUGAGGGAAUUUGACAGCAUUCCCUUAAAAUUAGAAAAUUGGCUUCUUUUAAAAAUAGAAAAAUGGACAAUUGUCCAGCUUUUCAGCAUUCCUUGUUAAUAAUUUUGGACAGCUAGUCCCUUUCUGGAAACCUCCCACAAACACCUAAAAAUUCAUAUCUUUACUUUUCAAUUAACCCCCCUUAAGGUUCUCUUUUUUACAAAUAGCCACCUUAAUUUUGAUCUUUCUGAUUCUCAAUGCCCUAAGUUUUUAUGUUCCCCUAGCUCCCUCAAGUUUCAAUUAUGACAGAUAAACAUUAAAAAAUAUAUGAAUAUAAACAAAAUAUUAAUCAACCAAACUAUUUAACAAUUAAUUGUUAAACUUAUGCAAUUACACUAAAUAAUACAAUUGAACUAACUGAUUAUGCACCUAAUUAAAGCGUUCAAACAAAAUAUAAUUCGACAGAAUUUAGGUAUCAAUUCGGUUAGAACAGGAGAGCAAGCAGAAAUGAUAAAAAAAAAAAGAUAAUAAUCCAUCAGUUAUUCAAACAAAAUCAUGCAAGUAACUAUUAAUUAAAUCAUGCACACACUGAAUCAAAUGAAAUUAAUUCCUAAUAUGCUAAAAAGUAAUAAGAACAUAUUAAAACUCAUGAAGCAAUAGUAAAGAUAAUGGAAAAUUACCUAAACAUAGCAAGAAAGAUCUUCUGACAGAAUUUGGUCGAACCGUCAAAUCUGAACGCCUUCAAAAUGGACCAAAAAUGACACUAAUCAAUUUUUUCUCGCUAAGAACAAUCAAUUAGCAUAAUUUUCGGUCAAAUCGAGUCUUGAAACUCAACCAAAAUCGAAGGAGGAAGGAAAAAUAGGGUCUUUUUUUCUUCUUUUUAGAUUCGAAAUUGGAGAAGUUUGGUGGAGGUUUUGGGAAAAUUGGUAAGGAAUUAGAGUUAAGGCGGAGUUGGAGAGAGUGUAGGGUGUGAGUUUGGGGUUGUUUGGACGGUGGCCUACGGUGGCAAGGGCUUAGAAAUCCUAGGGCGACUACGGUUUGGUGAGGGGAAGGAGAUACAUCGAAUGGGGAGAGUUCUGCGGUU
rnacentral:lncRNA from 1 species